rnacentral:rRNA from 1 species
AGAGAGAGACAUGCGCGCAUAUCAAUAAGCGGAGGAAAAGAAACUAACAAGGAUUCCCUUAGUAACGGCGAGUGAAGCGGGAAGAGCUCAAAUUUGAAAUCUUCAAGGUUUUACCUUGACGAAUUGUAGUUUAAAGAAGUGUUUUCUGCUGAAGUUUUGGUAAAAGUUCUUUGGAAUAGGACAUCAUAGAGGGUGAGAAUCCCGUAUUUGACCAUUAUUUUCAGCUUUGUGAUACACUUUCAAAGAGUCGGAUUGUUUGGGAAUGCAGUCCAAAAUGGGUGGUAAAUUUCAUCUAAAGCUAAAUAUUGGCGAGAGACCGAUAGCGAACAAGUACCGUGAGGGAAAGAUGAAAAGAACUUUGAAAAGAGAGUUAAACAGUACGUGAAAUUGUCAAAAGGGAAGCGUUUGACACCAGUGUUGUUUUCUCGAAAAUCAAUUAAAAAAUGGCAGGAUUUUGUAGUUGUAUUGACCUUUAUCAAGCUUUACUGCUACAUCUUUUCGUGUCUUUUUUUAAUGCACUUUUCGUUUAACAAGUCAACAUCAGUUUCUUUUGUUGUAAAAGGGUCAUUGGAAGGUGGCUUUCUUUUCGGAGAAAGUGUUUAUAGCCUUUGGCCUCCGCAAUCGGAGAGACUGAGGUCUGCAGCGUAGACUCUUCGGGGUUAGAUACAUUUGUGCUAAGUUAUAGCUUUUUAUAGACAACUUGUUGACUAUAAUUAGUCUUGUAGCUUACUCGCCUAUGCUAUUUUACCUACGCUUAGGAUGUUGAGUCGUAGAGCACGCAG